UACGGGGGGAGCAAGCGUUGUUCGGAUUUACUGGGCGUAAAGGGCGCGUAGGCGGUCAGCACAAGUCAGUUGUGAAAUCUCCGGGCUUAACCCGGAAAGGUCAACUGAUACUGUGCGACUAGAGUGCGGAAGGGGCAACUGGAAUUCUCGGUGUAGCGGUGAAAUGCGUAGAUAUCAGGAGGAACACCUGUGGCGAAAGCGGCUCACUGGACCACAACUGACGCUGAGGCGCGAAAGCUAGGGGAGCAGACAGG
rnacentral:rRNA from 1 species